rnacentral:misc_RNA from 1 species
AAGAUGCUGGAGACAAACUCUCAUCAAUUCGGAGAACAGAUGGCUGACAAUCUAAUGUUGCUUUAAUAGAGCAACCCUUAAAAGAACCGGAUGAGAUAGGGCUUUCGCCUGACCUUACAGGAAAUGCUGCCCCUUGGGACUGAGAAGGCGGAGUAGACUGCCUGUAGGUGGUGCCAUCAGCCUCGACAACCCAGCCAGCCUCCCUAGCAAGUGCGGCCAGCACAUCGUUCAUAUCAGCGCGAGCAGGGAGGGGGAAGUUGCCGUACUGGCGAAGUCCCGCCAGUAUUCGACUGGUAAUGGCUCGGCGAUGGCGCUCGCGAAGCUUGGUCCGCUCUUUUUCUUUCUCUCUCUCAGCGCUGAUAUGAACGAUG